UACGAGUGCUCCAAGCGUUAUCCGGAAUCAUUGGGCGUAAAGGGUGUGUAGGCGGUUCUGUUAGUCUUCCGUUAAAUUCUUCGGCUUAACCGGGGGCAUGCGGGGGAAACGGCAGAACUAGAGGAUGCGAGAGGUAAAUGGAACUCAUGGAGUAGGGGUGAAAUCCGUUGAUAUCAUGGGGAACACCGAAAGCGAAGGCAAUUUACUGGCGCACUCCUGACGCUGAGACACGAAAGCGUAGGUAGCGAAUGGG
rnacentral:rRNA from 1 species